ACUCCCUAAUGACCUUGAUUCAGUACGUGACUACAUUUUGGCUAGUCCGGCUGUCCCCACAGUUGAUGAACUAUUCUCUCGAUUACUUCGCCUUGCUGACCUUGAUUCAGUACGUGACCAGAUUUUGGCUAGUCUAGCUGUCCCCACGGUUGAUGAACUAUUAUCUCGAUUACUUCGCCUUGCUGCAGCACCAAGUCACCCAGUGAGCUCAUCACAGACACUUGGCUCAUCUGUCCUCGUGUCCCAAUCAGUGGACAAUCGGGCAUCUCUUACUAUGGAGAGUAGACGCGGAGGAGGUCGUUUUGGAAGAUCUAGACCCAAGUGCUCUUAUUGUCAUAAACUUGGACACACUCAUGACGUGUGCUAUUCUUCACAUGGCCG
rnacentral:lncRNA from 1 species